rnacentral:tRNA from 1 species
GCUCAGGUGGUGAAACUGGUAGACACGUACGUUUGAGGGGCGUAUGCCGUAAGGCUUACGGGUUCAAGUCCCGUCCUGAGCA